rnacentral:lncRNA from 1 species
CCACCAUUUAUAAUGGGAUUAGUAAUUUCCAAAAAAAAAUCAUCUUUUUCAAGAUAAAAUUAAAUGCAAAUUGCAUUUAAUUUACUUUCUCUCUCAUCUUUUCUAUAACCAACAACUAGUAAGAAUUAUUUUUUUAUCUUUAAAAUAAUUUUUUUUAACAAAAUUUUAGUCAAAUUAUUAUAUUUUUUAUUUUUCUUAUGUGAUUUUUAUUUUUUC